rnacentral:rRNA from 1 species
AGAGUUUGAUCCUGGCUCAGAACGAACGCUGGCGGCAUGCCUAACACAUGCAAGUCGAACGAAGGCUUCGGCCUUAGUGGCGCACGGGUGCGUAACGCGUGGGAAUCUGCCCUUGGGUUCGGAAUAACAGUGAGAAAUUACUGCUAAUACCGGAUGAUGACUUCGGUCCAAAGAUUUAUCGCCCAAGGAUGAGCCCGCGUAAGAUUAGCUAGUUGGUGAGGUAAAGGCUCACCAAGGCGACGAUCUUUAGCUGGUCUGAGAGGAUGAUCAGCCACACUGGGACUGAGUCACGGCCCAGACUCCUACGGGAGGCAGCAGUGGGGAAUAUUGGACAAUGGGCGAAAGCCUGAUCCAGCAAUGCCGCGUGAGUGAUGAAGGCCUUAGGGUUGUAAAGCUCUUUUACCAGGGAUGAUAAUGACAGUACCUGGAGAAUAAGCUCCGGCUAACUCCGUGCCAGCAGCCGCGGUAAUACGGAGGGAGCUAGCGUUGUUCGGAAUUACUGGGCGUAAAGCGCACGUAGGCGGCCAUUCAAGUCAGAGGUGAAAGCCCGGGGCUCAACCCCGGAACUGCCUUUGAAACUAGAUGGCUUGAAUCUUGGAGAGGCGAGUGGAAUUCCGAGUGUAGAGGUGAAAUUCGUAGAUAUUCGGAAGAACACCAGUGGCGAAGGCGACUCGCUGGACAAGUAUUGACGCUGAGGUGCGAAAGCGUGGGGGGCAAACAGGAUUAGAUACCCUGGUAGUCC